AAUAUAGGACAAUGGGGGCAAUUAUGAUCCAGUGAUAUCGCGUGUGUGAUGAAUGUCCUCGCUGUGUAAUGCUCUUUAAGCUGGGAGGAAGGGCUUUAGGUUAAUACCCUGAAGUGUUGACGUUACAAAUCGAAUAAUCACCGCCUAACUCUGUUCCAGCAGCCGAGGUAAUACAGAGGGUGCAAGCGUUAAUCGGAAUUACUGGGCGUAAAGCGCGCGUAGGUGGUUCAGUAAGGUGGGUGUGAAAUCCCCGGGCUUAACCUGGGAACUGCUUUCAUAACUGCUGAGCUAGAGUACGGUAGAGGGUAGUGGAAUUUCCUGUGUAGCGGUGAAAUGCGUAGAUAUAGGAAGGAACACCAGUGGCGAAGGCGACUACCUGGACUGAUACUGACACUGAGGUGCGACAGCGUGGGGAGCAAAC
rnacentral:rRNA from 1 species